GCAGUAGCCGCGGGAAUACGUAGGUGGCAAGCGUUGUCCGGAAUUAUUGGGCGUAAAGCGCGCGCAGGUGGUUUUUUAAGUCUGGUGUCCAAGUGCGGGGCUCAACCCCGUGACGCACUGGAAACUGGGAGACUUGAGUGCAGAAGAGGAGAGCGGAAUUCCACGUGUAGCGGUGAAAUGCGUAGAGAUGUGGAGGAACACCAGUGGCGAAGGCGGCUCUCUGGACUGUAACUGACGCUGAGGCGCGAAAGCGUGGGGAGCAAACAGGAUUAGAUACCCCUGUAGUCCCUGUCUCUUAUACA
rnacentral:rRNA from 1 species